rnacentral:rRNA from 1 species
GCUGGCGGCAGGCCUAACACAUGCAAGUCGAGGGAGAAGCUGACUUCGGUCAGUGGGCACCGGCGCACGGGUGAGUAACGCGUGGAAACCUACCCCGGGGUGGGGGAUAACCGCUGGAAACGGCGGCUAAUACCGCAUACGCCUUUUAAGGGAAAGAUUUAUCGCCCUGGGAUGGGUCCGCGUUAGAUUAGGUAGUUGGUGGGGUAAAGGCCUACCAAGCCGACGAUCUAUAGCUGGUCUGAGAGGAUGAUCAGCCACACUGGGACUGAGACACGGCCCAGACUCCUACGGGAGGCAGCAGUGGGGAAUCUUGGACAAUGGGGGCAACCCUGAUCCAGCCAUGCCGCGUGAGUGAAGAAG